CUGCUGUGCCUCACACCUGGGGGCCGCCGAGCUGGGCGGGGGCGGCUUCUCCUCCAACCCGGGCAGGGGCUCCGGGGCGGUGCGUUUUCGGUGGGUGGCCGCCCACCUUUCCUAAUCCCACGGGCUGAGAUGCGUGCUGGCGCCCGGCUGUGGGUGUCCCCACGGCACAGGAGGGAAGCUGUCCCGUCUCGGCGUCAGCCGCCAACCCCCACGCCCACGACGAUGCCCAAGGACCUCGGCCUCCCCCAGACUCGCCUCACCUGCAGCUCUGCUGACUUUUCCACCUAAAACCCACGGCACCGAGCUCCACCUCCCAGAGCCCCGGGUUGGAUAAAGGACAUCAGGAGCCCACAGGAAGGCUCCUCGUCUGCCCGUCCGGCGGCCUCACGCGUGGCCUCCGCUCCAAAUUCCCCCCUGACCUCCUCUGCCUCCUCCGGAGCCCCUCCCGGCCCGAAUCCGCCUUCCCCCCCCCCCCCCCUCCGUGCACGACUCCGCCCAAGGGCCCUCGAGCAGUCACUUCAGCCACCCCGAGGAAACGCAGCCCAGGCCCGCACAGCUUGGCGGGCAGCCCUCCUCUGGAGGAGCCUUCCCCACGCUGGCUGUCCCCUCCACGCUGGACUCAGGCAGGCGGGGCCCACGCUGUGUGUGGCUCUUCCCACACGUCAGCAUCCUCCCCGCACCCUGCAGGAACCCGGGCUGAUCCUUCAAGACUCAGCCGGCACCGCCCGGGUCGCCGUCACCCGCGCAGACUCGUCACAGAGCCGCGUCCCCCUGCACACCGCGGGACCGAGACUGUUCGGUGGUGAGGUUACACGCCGGAUGGGGGCACCUCCCAGCCUGGCACGUAGUAGGCGUCCGGGGAGAGUCUGAAGGCGGGGAGCCGCGUCCCUCCUGCCCUUCCGCCAACACUCACGUCCACUGUCUUUAAAAUUGUUAUUUCUAUCCUGCCUUGUUCCAGAAGGAUCUGAGGCGACUUUGAUCGAAACUUCACAAAGACUGAUUUCCCAGGAGUCCUGGAUUAGUUGAGAGCCAGAGGCUUAAAAUUAUACAUUCACUCAUUCAAUCAA